CCUACGGGAGGCUGCAGUGGGGAAUAUUGGACAAUGGGCGAAAGCCUGAUCCAGCAAUGCCGCGUGAGUGAUGAAGGCCUUAGGGUUGUAAAGCUCUUUUACCAGGGAUGAUAAUGACAGUACCUGGAGAAUAAGCUCCGGCUAACUCCGUGCCAGCAGCCGCGGUAAUACGGAGGGAGCUAGCGUUGUUCGGAAUUACUGGGCGUAAAGCGUGCGUAGGCGGUUAUUCAAGUCAGAGGUGAAAGCCUGGAGCUCAACUCCAGAACUGCCUUUGAAACUAGAUAACUAGAAUCUUGGAGAGGUGAGUGGAAUUCCGAGUGUAGAGGUGAAAUUCGUAGAUAUUCGGAAGAACACCAGUGGCGAAGGCGACUCACUGGACAAGUAUUGACGCUGAGGUACGAAAGCGUGGGGAGCAAACAGGAUUAGAUACCCGAGUAGUC
rnacentral:rRNA from 1 species